rnacentral:rRNA from 1 species
UACGUAGGCAGCAAGCGUUGUUCGGAGUUACUGGGCGUAAAGAGUGCGUAGGCGGUGUCGAAAGUUUGGCGUGAAAUCUCCCGGCUUAACUGGGAGGGUGCGCCGAAAACUGCGGUGCUGGAGUGUGGGAAAGGCAAGCGGAAUUCCUGGUGUAGCGGUGAAAUGCGUAGAUAUCAGGAGGAACACCGGCGAUGUAGACGGCUUGCUAGACCAUAACUGACGCUGAGGCACGAAAGCGUGGGUAGCAAACAGG